UCGGAGACGGGAGAUGGGCAAGGUCAAAGUGUUUGAGCUGGAAGGGGCCUCAGAAGUGAUUUACUCCAAGCCCCUCAUUUUACAGGUAGGGAAACAGGCCCAGCUAGUGUUUCUAAAUGCUUUCUUGACUCUUCUGGAAUAUUAUCAGCAGUUUUUUCGAUCUGGCCCCAGUUAUAAGAGAAGAGAGGAGAAUAUGAAGGGAAUGGAAAGGGCACAAGUGGUUUUCUCCUGUUCCCUCCAAUCAGGGACAGACUGACAUUCUGCCUGAGCACAGAGGAAGGGCAGAAGUGGGCGACAGGUUCAUCUUGUUUGAUGAUCACAGAUGGAGGGCUGGAGGAAACGCCAGAGGUCAUCCAGCCCAUUUUUUGGAGCAAGAAACCAAGGCUCAGAGACGAGAAGUGAGCCGGGCAGUAUGACAGAGGUCCUCUGCUUUCUUCCAUGGUGGCUUAACCAUUCUUCAUUACAAGAGGCUCCUCUACUCCCACUCCUGGGUGAGAGUCAAGGAAGAUCUCUAGAAGUGACUGGGAUGUUAAGGGGGAAAAAAAUACAACAGUAAAACUUAUCUGAACAACAGUUGCUUUCUUUGGCAGUUCUGUGGAUCUCAGGGUAGGUACGCUAGCACAGAUUGCAACACAGGUGCACAUUCUCAUCCUGUUUCUUGUCCCAGUCUUUCCAUAAAUCCACCAUAGCUGACCUAGGCCUCCAGAUGGGAUUUUCCUGUGGGAAGCCUUUGAGCUGACCAUCUGUCACUCCCACAUCCUUUUUUUGGUCAUUCACACUCACUGGACUCCUGUUGUCUCUCCUCUCCCCAAAUCUCCCUCCACGCAGCUGCCACCCCAGGGCACUUUCCAGGCUCCAAAGCAUUCAGUGGCUCCCUCUUGCCUCCUUGGUGGGACAUGUAAUACCCUGCAAUGUCCAACUUCCUGCCUUUCCAGGCUUACUUCCUAUUUCCUAUUUCAUCCACACUGACCACCAGCCCAUCCCCAUUGCGGAAAUCCACCUCUUGCUGCCAUGCCUCCACGAAGCCUGUUCCUCAUGCCUGCAAUGCACUCCUUGAUCACCUUGGCCUCUUGCCAUUCCUAACUUCUUCAAGGCUCAGAUCUAGUCCCAUCUUUCAUC